GACGAACGCUGGCGGCGUGCUUAACACAUGCAAGUCGAACGAAGUGGCGAACGGGUGAGUAACGCGUAAUCAACCUGCCAUUCAGAGGGGGACAACAGUUGGAAACGACUGCUAAUACCGCAUACUGAAGGCGGGGAUUGCGUCGGAUUAGCACGUUGGAGGGGUAACGGCCCACAAAGGCGAUGAUCAGUAGCCUGGCUGAGAGGAGGAACGUCCACAUGUGGACGGAGACACGGCCCAGACUCCUACGGGAGGCAGCAGUGAGGAAUAUUGGUCAAUGGGCGAGAGCCUGAACCAGCCAAGUCGCGUGAAGGAUGACUGUCUUUGGAUUGUAAACUUCUUGUGUAGGGGAAUAUGUACCCUACGAAUAAGCAUCGGCUAACUCCGUGCCAGCAGCCGCGGUAAUAC
rnacentral:rRNA from 1 species